UCCAAUUGCAAGAUAGUUAUGUAUUUAGUUGAAUGGAUGGUGAAUACAUAAGUUUGAAUAAACAACAUUUUAAAAUUCAUUGUAGGGAGAAGGGGGCUAGUUGUUACAAGGGCAAGUUGUUAUAUUUUAGUUUAAAAAUCUCAGGAGUCUCAUAUCUAUUGCGUCUACCCUUUGCACAGUUCUACCAAAGGUAUGGUACUUGUAGCUUGUGUAUUACGUGAGCUCGGUUGAUUUAAGUGUUUUUAACAGUAAAAAGUAAUUUUUUCAUCUGACUUUUAACUCACUUCCACGACCGUGUGAUAAAGGCAAGUUUUUUAAAAUUUCCUUACCUAAAGCUCUUUAUAUUAAAUGCAAUGCGUGUACUUCGUUCUUCACUUCAGUCGAAUAUUGGCACUGCUUUGACUGUUAAAUCAAAAUGGUGCACCGUGGGGCCAGUUGUUACACUGGACCUUGUUAUGGUGUAUCAGUGUGACCCAUAUCUUUUGAAAUAACUUGCGUUGGCAAAUGAUUACAUUUUAUUUUUUAUCAUGAAAGAUGGUACGAACGUACAAAAGGAAGACUAACAGAGGUAAUACAUGUUUGGAAAUGUUUAAGUUAGCAGCUGAUGAAGUCUCUUCUGGAAGAAUCUCGUUAAGGCAAACUGCUAAUAUAUGAUAAAAAUGUUUCAUAUGUUUGAAGUUAAAUUUCUGUAAUUAAUUGUUAAUUGGUAUAGUGUCUGUAAUUAAUUACUUAAUAAAGGUCUGAAUUGUUCCUUCUGUUUACUAA